rnacentral:rRNA from 1 species
UACGUAGGUGGCGAGCGUUGUCCGGAUUUAUUGGGUUUAAAGGGUGCGUAGGCGGCUUUGUAAGUCAGUGGUGAAAUACUCUAGCUUAACUAGAGGGGUGCCAUUGAUACUGCGGAGCUUGAGUACAGAUGAGGUAGGCGGAAUUGACGGUGUAGCGGUGAAAUGCUUAGAUAUCGUCAAGAACACCGAUAGUGAAGACAGCUUACCAAGCUUCAACUGACGCUGAGGCCCGAAAGUGGGGGGAUCAAACAGG